rnacentral:rRNA from 1 species
GAUGAACGCUGGCGGCGUGCCUAAUACAUGCAAGUCGAGCGAACGGACGAGAAGUUUGCUUCUCUGAUGUUAGCGGCGGACGGGUGAGUAACACGUGGAUAACCUACCUAUAAGACUGGGAUAACUUCGGGAAACCGGAGCUAAUACCGGAUGAUAUUUUGAACCGCAUGGUUCAAAAGUGAAAGACGGUCUUGCUGUCACUUAUAGAUGGAUCCGCGCUGCAUUAGCUAGUUGGUAAGGUAACGGCUUACCAAGGCAACGAUGCAUAGCCGACCUGAGAGGGUGAUCGGCCACACUGGAACUGAGACACGGUCCAGACUCCUACGGGAGGCAGCAGUAGGGAAUCUUCCGCAAAGGGCGAAAGCCUGACGGAGCAACGCCGCGUGAGUGAUGAAGGUCUUCGGAUCGUAAAACUCUGUUAUUAGGGAAGAACAUAUGUGUAAGUAACUGUGCACAUCUUGACGGUACCCAAUCAGAAAGCCACGGCUAACUACGUG